rnacentral:misc_RNA from 1 species
AACGCAAGUUGCGCUCUCAUUUGCGUGGGAGCAUGCCUCUUUCAGUAUCUGUUCCACUCUCACUCGCAGUGCGCUGCGGAGAAUGAGGCCUUGUGUGGUUUUCUUCGAGAGGAGAGAACCACAGCCUUGAAGUGUCCAGUGGAGCUUGUUCUGUUUUCACUCGUACGAGAGAAAACAGCUCUCACUGAGAAAGCGACGUGGGUAACCUACCUAUCAAAACGUCUUGCUUUCGUUUGCAGGUGAUGUGGUUUCUUUUCACAAAGAACGACAAGCGUACGGCGUUGCCUCGACAGAGUAGCAACACCACAACACAAAAACAAAAACCUGAUCUGAAAUGAGGCAAGAGGACCCGCUGAAUUUAA